CCUAAAUUCCACAAGAAUAUUCUUUAAACAGUAGGGAGAAAACACCCACCAUUUUUAGUCAUUUCCACAACAGUUAUGCCAUUGAAAUAAGUGAUCCCACAAGCACAUUCUUUUAAUUACAUCAUUAUUUAUUUAACAUCCAUGCUAAAGGUCUUCAAGGAGCUUACCCUUUAGUAGGAGGAAUAAGAUUUAAAAAGGAGGAGUUCCAGUAACAGUUUAAGGUAAUAAUGGAAAAGAUAUAUAUAAAGAGGUCUGACCAGUUUUUAAAAAAUUACUGCAGUAGUUCAGAGACAUCCUGCAUGUUGUAGUGAUCCCAAGUGGAUCCCGCAGUGGACACUCAUUCACUCUUCUCAGUACACCCUUUGUUUCCAUUUCAGUUCAGGCCUUGACAUCUCCAGUCUAGAUCACCACCAGCAGUCCCCAGCCGGCCUGGAGCCUGGACCCCUGAAUGAACACUCAGAGAGCAGACCAGAGCCCAACCCAGCAGCCUGCAGCAGAGCCCCCCAGCUGAGCCCGGCCCUGAUCAGCCAAUACACAGUCAGCCUUUAGACCUGUAAGCACGGGAAUAAAUCCUUGUUAUUGUAA